rnacentral:misc_RNA from 1 species
AAACAGGUCAGCCUUCGUCAAGAAUUGGGCUGGAUUUGGCUUCCCAUCACCAAAAUGACCUGAGCCAUUUAGGUCAUUUUGGCUUGUUUUUGCCUCACUUUAUAAAGCCCUCAUUUUUUUUUCAUGCACAGCCUACGUGGGACUUGCUCCAAGUUCCAUAUCCAAGUCUAACAAAAAUAUUAGAAUUCAGUAAUUUACUCACUAUUAAUUCAUCCAAAAAUUUUAGUUAGUAUUUAUUAUUAUUUUUUUCCCAAAUUGCAGCCUUCUGAGUUCUG